CCUACGUGUGGCAGCAGUGGGGAAUAUUGGGCAAUGGAGGCAACUCUGACCCAGCAACGCCGCGUGAAUGAUGAAGGUCUUCUGAUUGUAAAGUUCUUUUCUAAGGGAAGAAGAAAGUGACGGUACCUUAGGAAUAAGCCUCGGCUAACUACGUGCCAGCAGCUGCGGUAAUACGUAGGAGGCAAGCGGUAUCCGGAAUGACUGGGCGUAAAGGGUGCGUAGGUGGUUUGACAAGUUAGUAGCGCAAAUCCGGAGGUCAACUUCGGAACUACUACGGAAACUGUUGGACUUGAGUGCAGGAGGGGCAAGCGGAAUUCCUAGUGUAGCGGUGGAAUGCGUAGAUAUAAGGAAGAACACCAGAGGCGAAGGCAGAUUACUGGAUUGUAACUGACACUGAGGGACGAAAGCGUGGGGAGCAAACAGGAUUAGAUACCCUUGUAGUC
rnacentral:rRNA from 1 species